GCCGAUGGCCCAGCGGUUAAGUCGACAGCCUCUGGGCCACUGGCGUAGUAGCCAAGGCGCGGGUUCAAUUCCCGCUGCGAGCA